ncrna:Clostridium sp. L2-50 HTH-XRE RNA
GAUCAGCAUUUACCGGGGCAUACGAGAGGUAUGCGCGGAACUCCCGGCAAGCAAGCUUGCAAAGGUGAUUCCCUUUUC